rnacentral:rRNA from 1 species
UACGUAGGGGGCUAGCGUUGUCCGGAAUCAUUGGGCGUAAAGAGCGUGUAGGCGGCUUUGCAAGUCGGAUGUGAAAGCCCUCGGCUCAACCGAGGAAGUGCGUUCGAAACUGCAGAGCUUGAGUGCCGGAGAGGGUGGCGGAAUUCCCCAAGUAGAGGUGAAAUUCGUAGAUAUGGGGAGGAACACCGGUGGCGAAGGCGGCCACCUGGACGGUCACUGACGCUGAGACGCGAAAGCGUGGGUAGCAAACAGG